UACUGACAAGUAGAUACUGCGACAGUAGUCGAAGUUAGUACGAGAGGAACACUUCGUCCAGAUACUUGGUUAAUGCCGUUGUCUGAAAAGACAGUACGGCGAAGCUACCAUCUGCUGGAUUACGGCUGAACGCCUCUAAGCCGGAAUCCAUGCUGGAUAAGCAGUGUUGUACACCGUGCUCAAUGCUACAAGAAAAAGGCUAGGUCAGGCUUCGGCCUGACCAAAAUUCAAGCUGCUAUACCUCUGGCUGCAUUGACUUGUGGUCAGAGUGUAUGGUGAUCAUAGCAAUUGCAAGUAUUGGGCUCGAUAAAUCCUUUGAAGACGACUUAAUUGCAUCCGGGUAUUGUAAGUGUUGAGAGUAGGCUUAGUCUUACGAUCCACUGAGAUUCAUCCCGUGUUGCGCCGAUUUGU
rfam:Perkinsus marinus ATCC 50983 gcontig_1104296145554, whole genome shotgun sequence.